CCCGGCCUAGUUUUUGGUGGGAUUCGUGUUGUUUAUUCUUUAGUUUUCUCUGUUGUAUCAUGUGAACUAUUGUUUGUCUGUUUGUCUUUUUCAUUUUUAGCCUUGGCGUUGUCAGUUUAUUUUAGAUUUAUGAGUUUGACUGUCCCUUUGGUAUCUUUCGUCCCUCUUUUUUUUAACGAUUUGGCUAUUGUUGAAAAACACGAUAAAUACAG
rnacentral:lncRNA from 1 species